rnacentral:tRNA from 2 species
GCGAACGUGGCGGAAUUGGCAGACGCGCUGGAUUUAGGUUCCAGUGGGGCAACCCGUGGAGGUUCGAGUCCUCUCGUUCGCACCA